AUGUAGGGCAAUCUGUCUUUAAGUAGGGGUAAAUUACUCUUAAAAAAAGAUUCCUAGAUAGUUUUCCCUUCAAGUCAAGUGUCUUGU
rnacentral:pre_miRNA from 1 species